rnacentral:rRNA from 1 species
CAGUCGAACGGGAUCCAUCGGGCUUUGCUUGGUGGUGAGAGUGGCGAACGGGUGAGUAAUGCGUGACCGACCUGCCCCAUGCACCGGAAUAGCUCCUGGAAACGGGUGGUAAUGCCGGAUGCUCCAUCACACCGCAUGGUGUGUUGGGAAAGCCUUUGCGGCAUGGGAUGGGGUCGCGUCCUAUCAGCUUGAUGGCGGGGUAACGGCCCACCAUGGCUUCGACGGGUAGCCGGCCUGAGAGGGCGACCGGCCACAUUGGGACUGAGAUACGGCCCAGACUCCUACGGGAGGCAGCAGUGGGGAAUAUUGCACAAUGGGCGCAAGCCUGAUGCAGCGACGCCGCGUGAGGGAUGGAGGCCUUCGGGUUGUAAACCUCUUUUGUUAGGGAGCAAGGCAUUUUUUGUUGAGUGUACCUUUCGAAUAAGCACCGGCUAACUACGUGCCAGCAGCCGCGGUAAUACGUAGGGUGCAAGCGUUAUCCGGAAUUAUUGGGCGUAAAGGGCUCGUAGGCGGUUCGUCGCGUCCGGUGUGAAAGUCCAUCGCUUAACGGUGGAUCCGCGCCGGGUACGGGCGGGCUUGAGUGCGGUAGGGGAGACUGGAAUUCCCGGUGUAACGGUGGAAUGUGUAGAUAUCGGGAAGAACACCAAUGGCGAAGGCAGGUUUCUGGGCCGUU